ACUCGGGUUUCCUUCAGACUAUACCAGUCUUCUGCCUGUUACUGAAGAUUUCCGUGGAGAGGAAAAGCACAGUGAAAUCUGAAAUUUUUUUGCUCUAUUUAUGUCUUUUCUUAGUU